rnacentral:rRNA from 1 species
UACGUAGGGGGCGAGCGUUGUCCGGAAUUAUUGGGCGUAAAGAGCUCGUAGGCGGCUUGGCAAGUCGGAUGUGAAAACUCCAGGCUCAACCUGGAGCCGCCAUUCGAUACUGCUAUGGCUAGAGUCCGGUAGGGGAGUGUGGAAUUCCCGGUGUAGCGGUGAAAUGCGCAGAUAUCAGGAGGAACACCAAUGGCGAAGGCAGCUCGCUGGGACGGUACUGACGCUGAGGCGCGAAAGCGUGGGGAGCAAACAGG